rnacentral:lncRNA from 1 species
AAGUUUUCCAUUGCUUCGCCAAUGGAAGGGUCCCUAUUUUCCAUUCCCUUAUGCACAUUUACUCGAAGUAUCAAAGAAGACUUGUAUCACUGUAGAUUGAGGGUAUCCACAUGGUUCGUAAGGCUAAAAGUUACUUCCUGAUUGGAAUAGAGGGGUUUUGAAGGUUCUAUUAAAACCUAAAAAUGGGGGUAAGGCUAGCCGACAUUCACCUCUCCCAGACCCUGCGUGAAGCGGGAGCCUUGUGCACUGGGUACGACCUUUUUUUAUUAAAACCUAAAAAUGUGAAAGGGUGGUGGAGGGUCUAUUUUGUCGUCAGGC